UCCUCGUUUAAGCGAGGCAGUCUGUCCAGAGUGCUCCAAACUCUCGUUUGGAUAGCAACAGGACACAAGGGUUGCGCUCGUUGCGGGACUUAACCCAACAUCUCACGACACGAGCUGACGACAGCCAUGCAGCACCUGUGCAAGCUCCCCUUGCGGGGUCGUCCCACUUUCAUGGUUCUACCACUUGCAUGUCAAGGCCAGGUAAGGUUCUUCGCGUUGCAUCGAAUUAAGCCACAUACUCCACCGCUUGUGCAGGCCCCCGUCAAUUUCUUUGAGUUUUAAUCUUGCGACCGUACUUCCCAGGCGGCACGUUUAUCGCGUUAGCUUCGCCACAAAAGGGGUCGAAUCCUUUUACAGCAAACGUGCACCGUUUACGGCUAGGACUAC
rnacentral:misc_RNA from 1 species